UACAGAGGGGGCAAGCGUUGUUCGGAAUUACUGGGCGUAAAGCGCGCGUAGGCGGACCUGCAAGUCGGGGGUGAAAGCCCGAGGCUCAACCUCGGAACUGCCUUCGAUACUGCGGGUCUCGAGUCCGGGAGAGGUGAGUGGAAUUCCUAGUGUAGAGGUGAAAUUCGUAGAUAUUAGGAAGAACACCAGUGGCGAAGGCGGCUCACUGGCCCGGUACUGACGCUGAGGCGCGAAAGCGUGGGGAGCAAACAGG
rnacentral:rRNA from 1 species